GCCGCCACCGCCUCAGGGAAGAGGAAGGAGGCCGCGGCUUCGCGUCCCGCCUCUCGCCUGGCUGGCCGUGGGGGGCCUGGACGCAGUGGCCUCCCGAAUCUCCCAGGACCCUAAUAUCGCCCGAGGAUGCUGGGAGGAACGCUGAGCCGACCUCUCCGUUAGGCUGAAGAUUGCACAAACCAUGCUAAUGGCCAGCAUGGAUGGAGGGAGCGUGUGAGAUGUGUGGGGCAGCGUGCUGCAUCUCAGCCAACUCCAGGAGGAAGCAUGCUCAUGGCAAUACCCGGAGUCUCCACUGCAAGACCAGAGUGACGGAGGCAGCAGAGCUCCUCAGCAGGCCAGGAGUCUCCAGAGGCACUGCCGAAUGUCUAAGAAGCAACCUCAUUGUAUUCCCAAGACCUGGGAAUCCAGGUCUCGCAGAUACGAUGAUACAAUCUAUAGCCAGGACAUCUCUUCAUGUGUAGUUUUCAAUGAAUACUAGGAUAAGCAACUAUCCCAGUCUUCCCAGGAUUGAGGGGCUUCUCCAGAUGCUGCACUUCUGGUGCUAAAAAUGAGAAACUGAAAUGAAUUAGUCACCCAAGGAAUGCUGACCCUGUGCUAUAUGAUCACAUUUACUCUUUAAAGCAAUGCUUUGAGUAUUGGGGGCUGUGGUCAUCUGAAGGCCUGACUGGGGCUGGAGGACCUGACUUCAGGAUGGUGCACUCACAUGGCUGCUGGCAGGGAACUACACAAGAGACAGGCUACCAUAGUGACUGUGUAUCUGAUGCUUCCACAGCUACCCCUUAGGACUCUAAGUCCUAGAAUUGGGACUAGAAGUGGGGAUUAAAGGGAUUCCAUAGGAUGAGAUUGACUAAAAAUAUAUAUACAUGAAUAGGCAUACACAGGAAUAUUCAUUAUAUGUGUAAAUACCAUCAUUUGUAUUCAGGCACACCUUGUUUUAUUGUGGCUUUAUUGCACUUCACAGAUAUUGUAUUUUUUUUAGAAAUUGAAGGUUUGUGACAACCCUGUGUUGAGCAAGUCUAUCAGCACUGUUUUUCCAACAGCAUGUGCUCACUUUGUGUCUCUGUGUCACAUUUUGGUAACUCUUACAAUAUUUUGAACGUUUUUAUGACUAUUAUAUCUGUUGUGGUAAUCUGUGAUCUUUGAUGUUACUAUUGUAAUUGUUUUGGAGCUUCAUGAACCAUGCCCAUAUAAGAUGGCAAAUUUAAUUGAUAAAUGUCGUGUGUGUUCUGACUGCUCCACCAACCAGCGUCUCCUUCAUUUCUCUCCCUCUCUUCAAGCCUCCCUAUUCCCCAAGAUACAAUAAUAUUGAAAUUAGGCCAAUCACUAAGCCUACAAUGGUUUCUAAGUGUUCCAGUGAAAGGAAAAGUUGCAUGUCUCUAAUUUUAAAUUAAAAGCUAGAAAUUAUUAAGAGUGUGAGGAAGGCAUGUUGAAAGCCCAGACAGGUUGAAAGCUAGCUAGGCCUCUUAUGUCAAACAAGCCAAGUUGUGAAUGCAAAGAAAAAGUUCUUGAAAAGUUAAAAGUCCUACUCUAGUGAACACAUGAAUGAUAAGAAAACAAAACAGCCUUAGUGCUGAUAGGGAGAAAGUUUGAGUGGUCUGAAUAGAAGAUCAAACCAGCCACCACAUUCCCAUAAGCCAAAGCCUAAUCCAGAGCAAGGCCCCCAACUCUCUUCAAUUCUAUUGAGUAAGACUGUUCUUGUGUUGCUAUAAAGAAAUACCUGAGGCUGGGUGAUUUGUAAAGAAAAGAGGUCUAAUUGGCUCCUGGUUCUGCAGGCUGUAUAAGAAGUAUGGUGCUGACACUUGCUUCUGGUGAGGGCCUGAGGGAGCUUUUGAUUGUGGCAGAAGGUAAAGGGGAAGCAGGCACAUCACACAGUGAGAAUGGGAGCAAGAGAGGGAGUGGGGGCUGCCACACACUUUUAAACAACCAGAUCUCACCAGAACUCACUCACCCUCAUGAGGACAGCACCAAGACAUGAGGGAUUCACCCGCCAUGACCCAAUCACCGCCCACCAGGCCCCACCUCCAACAUUGGGAAUCAUAUGUUAACAUGAUAUUUUAAGGGGACAAACAUCCAAACUGUAUCAUCUGUGAAGGCUGACAGAGCUGAGGAAGCUGCAAAAGAAAACUCUGAAGCUAUCAGAGACUGGAUCGUGAGGUUUAAGGAAAGAAGCCAUCUUCAUAACAUAAAAGUGCAAGGUGAAGCAGCAAGUGCUGAUGGAGAAGCUCCAGCAAAUUGUCCAGAAGACGUAGCUCAGAUCACUGAUGAAGGUGAUUACACUAAACAAUAGAUUUCUAAGGUGGAUAAAUCAGCCUUGCAUUGGAAAAAGAUGUCAUCUAGGACUUUCAUAGCUAGAGAAGAGAAGUCAAUGCCUGGCUUCCAAGCUUCAAGGGGCAGGCUGGCUCUUUUGUUAGGGGCUAAUGCAGCUGGUGACUUUAAGUUGAAGUCAGUGCUCCUUUACCAUUCCUAAAAUGCUAGAGUCCCUAUGAAUGAUGCUCAAUCUACUCUGCCUGUGCUCUAUCGGUGAAACAUCAAAGUCUGGGUGACAGCACAUCUGUUUACAGUAUGGUUUACUGAAUAUUUUAAGCCCUCUGUUGAGACCUACUGCCCAGAUUAAAAAAAAAAAGAUUCCUUUCAAAAUAUUACUAUUCACUAACAAUGCACCUAGUCACCCAAGAGCUCUGAUGAAGAUGGAGACGAAUGUUAUGUUCAUGCCUGCUAAUACAACGAUCUAUUCUGCAACCUGUGGAUCAAGGACUAAUUUCGACUUUCAGUCUUAUUAUUUCAGAUAUACACUUUCUAAGGCUAUAGUUGCCCUAGACAGUGAUUCCUCUGAUGGAUCUGGGAAAAGUUAAUUGAAAACCUCUGGAAGGGAUUUAUCAUUUUAGAUGCCAUUAAGAACAUUUGUGAUUCCUGGAAGGAUGUUCAGAAGUUUGGAGGAAGUUGAUUCCAACCCUCUUGGAUGACUUAGAGGGGUUCAAGGCUUCAGUGGAGAAAAUCACUGUAAAUGUGAUAAAAAUAGCAAGAGCACUAGAAUUACAAGUGAAGGCUGAAGAUGUGACUGAACUGCUGCCAUCUCAUGAUAAAGCUUAGAUGGAUGAGGGGCUGAUUCUGUGGAUGAGCAAAGAAAGCAGUUCCUUGAGGUGGAACCUACUUCUGCUGAAGAUGCUGUGAACAUUGUUGAAAUGACAGCAAAGGAUUUAGAGUAUUACUUGAACUUGCUUGAUAAAGUAGUAGCAGGCUUUGAGAAGACUGAUUCCAGUUUUGAAAGUUCUGGGUAAAUGCUAUCAAACAGCAUUGGAGGCUACAGAGAAAUCUUUUGUGAAAGGAAAAGUCAUAGAUGCAUCAAACUUCAUUGUCCUAAAGAAAUAGCACAGCCACCCCAACCUUCAGCAACCACCACUCUGAUCAGUUAGCAACCAUUAACAGUGAGGCAAGACCUGCAAGCAAAAGGGUGAUGACUUGCUGAUUGUUAGCAUUUUUAAAGCAAUAAGUACUUUUUAAUUAAGGUAUGUACAUUGCUCCUUUAGACAUAAUGCUAUUGCAUACUUAAUAGACUACUGUAUAGUGUGAACAUAAUUUUAUAUGCACUAGGAAACCAAAAGUUUGUGUGAUUCCCUUUUUUUUUUUUUGCAGUAGUCUGAAACUGAACUCACAAUAUCUCCAAG
rnacentral:lncRNA from 1 species